UUUCUACUCCUCCCUCCGAAAAUACUUGUCAUCAAAAUGGAUAAAAAUAGAUGUAUCUAAAACUAAAAUACGUCUAGAUACAUUUCCUUUUAUCCAUUUUGAUGACAAAUAUUUCCGGACGGAGGGAGUAUUUG
rfam:Triticum aestivum genome assembly, contig: Triticum_aestivum_CS42_TGACv1_scaffold_641900_T_4BL-0.109067_4BS-0.061158